AACGCGAAGAACCUUACCUGGGCUUGACAUGUUCCUGACCGCCGUGGAAACACGGCUUCCCUUCGGGGCAGGAUCACAGGUGGUGCAUGGCUGUCGUCAGCUCGUGUCGUGAGAUGUUGGGUUAAGUCCCGCAACGAGCGCAACCCCCGUCGCAUGUUGCCAGCAUUUAGUUGGGGACUCAUGCGAGACUGCCGGUGACAAACCGGAGGAAGGUGGGGAUGACGUCAAGUCAUCAUGCCCCUUAUGUCCAGGGCUACACACGUGCUACAUUGGCGCGUACAGAGGGCUGCGAUACCGCGAGGUGGAGCGAAUCCCUUAAAGCGCGUCUCGGUUCGGAUUGCAGGCUGAAACUCGCCUGCAUGAAGGCGGAGUUGCUAGUAAUCGCGGAUCAGCAUUGCCGCGGUGAAUACGUUCCCGGGCCUUGUA
rnacentral:rRNA from 1 species